rnacentral:lncRNA from 1 species
GUAUUAUUUCUGUAUAUGAAAAAAAAAAAAAAAAAAAAGUCUACUAAUUUUGUUUGGUGCUAAGAGUAAAACCAUUUUUUACAAAAACAUUUCUCCAAGGCCAGGUUUAUCAAAAUUGUUUAAAGGUGCCUCACUCUGCUGAUAGCAUCUAUGUGGAAGCCUCACUAGUAUUGCAAGUCAGUACGAGUAAGGCUUCUAGCAAUUAGACUCUUUUGAAGGUUCUUAACAGGUACCUAUCUAAAUAUUUUUAUCUUGGCAGAGUGUGAAAACUUCCAUCAUGCAGUCUUUGAUCUGGAGUUCUAGAAAUUAAAUUACAGGCUGCCUAGAGGGAUUUUGAAGUGCUAAGCACUCUUCUUUCAGACCAAAUAAAAAGCACAAUUACAGCUCUUACAGUAGUUGUAUAUCUGAUAUUAACAUGGAUUCAUGAAGUAGCUUGGCUAGGUUUGGUCAGAAGCUAUCUCAUAUGAACUGAACAGUUAAUGAAUGGAAAAUGCCAAGACAAAGGCCAGAAGACAGGGAAUAAAACUAAUGGACAAAAGCUGCCCUAAACGGGAGCAGAAAAACAUUUCCAGGUGAAGAGCAGGAAGAGUAAAAUAGGUUAGUAAAUGUGAGAAAAUAAACUGUACUUAACGCUACUAUAUUUUUAUUAUUUUCACAGAAAAAGAAACACAUAUAAUCUUAGAGGAAAACAGAGUUGUACCACAGGAUAUAUCAGUGUCAUAACCUAAAGAAAAUGGUCACAAAACUUCCCAGAAAGAAUGUAUCUUUUGAAAGAAUAAUCAAAGCAAAGCAAGAUUCUGGGGAACAUCUACUUACUAGAAGACUAAAUCAAAAAGUAGUAAAGCUGGAAUUAUCAGACCUAAGCAUCUCAGGUAUUGCCACAAAUACACACUUUUAGUUGUCUAUUGAAAAUAACUUGAUAGCAAAUGUUAUAAUCAUCUAGAGCACCCAUCUGCUUUCAGUUCUUCUUUUAAAGAAGCUGACUUCCUUAUUCAUAAUGA